GUGGUGGCCUGUCUGGUGUCUGUAAAGGUGGUGGCCUGUCUGGUGUCUGUAAAGGUGGUGGCCUGUCUGGUGUCUGUAAAGGUGGUGGCCUGUCUGGUGUCUGUAAAGGUGGUGGCCUGUCUGGUGUCUGUAAAGGUGGUGGCCUGUCUGGUGUCUGUAAAGGUGGUGGUCUGUCUGGUGUCUGUAAAGGUGGUGGCCUGUCUGGUGUCUGUAAAGGUGGUGGCCUGUCUGGUGUCUGUAAAGGUGGUGGCCUGUCUGGUGUCUGUAAAGGUGGUGGCCUGUCUGGUGUCUGUAAAGGUGGUGGUCUGUCUGGUGUCUGUAAAGGUGGUGGCCUGUCUGGUGUCUGUAAAGGUGGUGGCCUGUCUGGUGUCUGUAAAGGUGGUGGCCUGUCUGGUGUCUGUAAAGGUGGUGGCCUGUCUGGUGUCUGUAAAGGUGGUGGCCUGUCUGGUGUCUGUAAAGGUGGUGGCCUGUCUGGUGUCUGUAAAGGUGGUGGCCUGUCUGGUGUCUGUAAAGGUGGUGGCCUGUCUGGUGUGUGUAAAGGUGGUGGC